rnacentral:rRNA from 1 species
AACGUAGGACACGAGCGUUAUCCGGAGUUACUGGGCGUAAAGGGCGUGUAGGUGGUGCGAUAAGACUGGUGUGAAAGCCUUCGGCUUAACCGAGGGAGGACACUGGUGACUGUCGGACUUGAGGCAGAUAGAGGGGUGUAGAAUUCCGGGUGUAGUGGUGAAAUGCGUAGAGAUCCGGAGGAAUACCAGAGGCGAAGGCGGCACCCUGGGUCUGACCUGACACUGAUCCGCGACAGCAUGGGGAGCGAACGGG